UGUUACUGCGCACUGCGUACGGUCGGCUAGUAGACUAGUAAUUUAAUUGUAAGAUAGCGAGCAGAAAUCUAUUAUACUCGUAGUUCUUUUUCCGGCAGGCGGUGGGGUUGCCACUGCGACAGAGGGUGUUUAGCACCCGAGACCAUAUGGCUCUGUUGUGUAGAAUUUGUAAGGGUAGUCUUUUUUGUAGAAGCAGUAGUUUAGCCAUAUGUGUCCUGUCAAGGACGAUUUUCGGGUUGGGUGUUUCGAUAUAAAUGAGGCCGCUUUUAAAGUUCUCUGACGAAAUGAUUUUGGAUUGGAAGUUAUCGGAUGGGGGAGGUAGGUAUUUGCUGGUGAUUGGUGGUUUUGUGAAGUAUAGUGUGCUGUGGGUAUAUAAAAGGAAAUCGGAGUGCGGUGGAAAUUUAGUUGGUUAUGGGAAGUUGUGAGAAGUUUGUUGUCUGGAUUGCGUUGUAAGAUCUUAUUUGAUAGUUUGAUAGUAAAGGUUGUUGUAGUAAGGUGGAGAGUGAUUUGGAGUGCCUGGGAAGAGGUGUUUGAAGGGAUUUUGGCAGAUUUGUGACAAAUCAAAAUCGGAAAAAUUUGGAGAACAUGAUUUUCAUUCCGAUUUUUGUUCCGGUUGUUUGGUUGUAUGUUGGAGUUGUUUUUGUAUACAUGCCAUUUCAGGUGUAUGGUUAUUAUUGUUGCAAAUCGUUGACGACAGUGGUGUUGUGGAUGUUGUGGGAUAUAAUCAAAUUCAACAGCAAUUAUUUGGACAUUCAGCUGCUGCGCAUCAAAGCGGAUUGAUUGGGAUUCACGAUUUCUCAGCUAUGAAUAAGCAAUAUCGCGUCAUACUGAAACAGGCUUAUACUAAUAUUGAAGGUCGGAGCAAAGAAAUAAUCAGCAUAACGUAUAUGGAAGAAAAAAAGCCAGACGAAAUUCCAGGAAGUGCUAUGGAUAUUGUUGUCACUGACGACAAUACAACCGUACUGCAGCCUGAAUUCAGCAAACGAUCUGUUGGAACUCCGAAGAAACGAAACAAAUGAAUGGAAUAGCAUGAACCGUUGUUUUACUUUGAGAUGGACCAAUCGUUUUCAUUUUUAUUGUUGUUAUUUGAGCGAUUCAUCAAUUUAUUACCGCCAUUACACCAUUUUUCCUAAUUGCAUUAUUGUUAUCUGUGGUAUUAUUAUCUGACAGUGGUGGUGCGGUAUUAUUAUCUAUGUGAUGU